GACGAACGCUGGCGGCGUGCUUAACACAUGCAAGUCGAACGGAAAGGCCCUGCUUUUGUGGGGUGCUCGAGUGGCGAACGGGUGAGUAACACGUGAGUAACCUGCCCUUGACUUUGGGAUAACUUCAGGAAACUGGGGCUAAUACCGGAUAGGAGCUCCUGCUGCAUGGUGGGGGUUGGAAAGUUUCGGCGGUUGGGGAUGGACUCGCGGCUUAUCAGCUUGUUGGUGGGGUAGUGGCUUACCAAGGCUUUGACGGGUAGCCGGCCUGAGAGGGUGACCGGCCACAUUGGGACUGAGAUACGGCCCAGACUCCUACGGGAGGCAACAGUGGGGAAUAUUGCACAAUGGGCGGAAGCCUGAUGCAGCAACGCCGCGUGCGGAUGACGGCCUUCGGGUUGUAAACCGCUUUCGCCUGUGACGAAGCGUGAGUGACGGUAAUGGGUAAAGAAGCACCGGCUAACUACGUG
rnacentral:rRNA from 1 species